GUCGAGAAUCUUCGGCAAUGGGCGCAAGCCUGACCGAGCGACGCCGCGUGGAGGACGAAGGCCUUCGGGUUGUAAACUCCUGUCGAGGGGGAAGAAGCCGCAAGGUUGACUGAUCCCUGGAGGAAGCACGGGCUAAGUUCGUGCCAGCAGCCGCGGUAAGACGAACCGUGCGAACGUUAUUCGGAAUCACUGGGCUUAAAGCGCGUGUAGGCGGAACGGCACGUCGGUCGCUGAAAGCCCCCGGCUCAACCGGGGAAUGGGCGCCGAUACGACCGUUCUGGAGGAACGUAGGGGGACCUGGAACUUCCGGUGGAGCGGUGAAAUGCGUUGAGAUCGGAAGGAACGCCCGUGGCGAAAGCGAGGUCCUGGACGUUUUCUGACGCUGAGACGCGAAAGCCAGGGGAGCGAACGGGAUUAGAAACCCCAGUAGUCC
rnacentral:rRNA from 1 species